UGUGUGAGGUCGCCCACAUUCCAGGCCAACAUGAACAGCUGAUUUGGAUACCAUCAAGACACCUGAAAUUUUAGCAUGAGCCAGAUGCCAAGGAAGAGACUCCGGGAGGAUCCUGAGGACCCCCCGGUUGCAGCCAUGUCGAGGCUGAUGCUGAGGAGGACCCCAACUGUCACGAGAAACACCCGUCGAACACAGCCACCCAGCUGGAGACAGAUCAAGAAGCUGUCACAGAUGAUGGAAGAAAACCUGAGGAAAGCGGGACAACCACUCAGAAUGAGUAAUGGUAGCUAUGAUAGUGGUAAUCACCAUUGCCGUG
rnacentral:lncRNA from 1 species